rnacentral:rRNA from 1 species
AAACUCAAAGGAAUUGACGGGGGCCCGCACAAGCGGUGGAGCAUGUGGUUUAAUUCGACGCAACGCGAAGAACCUUACCUGGAUUUGACAUCCCGGGAAUUCUUUCGAAAGAUUGAAGUGCCCUUCGGGGAACCCGGUGACAGGUGCUGCAUGGCUGUCGUCAGCUCGUGUCGUGAGAUGUUGGGUUAAGUCCCGCAACGAGCGCAACCCUUAUCUUUAGUUACCAGCAACUCGGUUGGGGACUCUAAAGAUACUGCCCCGGUUAACGGGGAGGAAGGUGGGGAUGACGUCAAGUCCUCAUGGCCCUUAUGUCCAGGGCUACACACGUGCUACAAUGGGCUGCACAAAGAGUCGCAAGACCGCAAGGUUUAGCUAAUCUCAAAAAUCAGUUCGUAGUUCGGAUUGGAGUCUGCAACUCGACUCCAUGAAGCUGGGAUCGCUAGUAAUCGUGGAUCAGCAUGCCACGGUGAAUACGUUCCCGGGCCUUGUACCGCCUCCCGUCACACCAUCGGCCGCCAGUGUGCUGGAAUUCGCCCUUAGAGUUUGAUCCUGGCUCAGUGAAGUCGUAACAAGGUAGAGUUUGAUCCUGGCUCAGGUGAAGUCGUAACAAGGUA